rnacentral:misc_RNA from 1 species
AACGCACAUUGCGCCCGGCAGUAAUCUGCCGGGCAUGCCUGUCCGAGCGUCAUUUCAACCCUCGAACCUCCGUUUCCUCAGGGAAGCUCAGGGUCGGUGUUGGGGCGCUACGGCGAGUCUUCGCGACCCUCCGUAGGCCCUGAAAUACAGUGGCGGUCCCGCCGCGGUUGCCUUCUGCGUAGUAAGUCUCUUUUUGCAAGCUCGCAUUGGGUCCCGGCGGAGGCCUGCCGUCAAACCACCUAUAACUCCAGAUGGGUUGACCUCGGAUCAGGUAGGAGUUACCCGCUGAACUUAA